rnacentral:rRNA from 1 species
CCAAUAGCGUAUAUUAGAGUUGUUGCAGUUAAAAAGCUCGUAGUUGAAUUUCGGGAUCAAAUUGUCGGUCGUGCCUCGGUACGUACUGGCGUUAUUGGUUCCUCCCUUCUGAAGAACCGCGAUGUCAUUAAUUUGGUGUCGCGGGGAAUCAGGAAUGUUACUUUGAAAAAAUUAGAGUGUUUAAAGCAGGCUCGCGCUUGAAUACAUUAGCAUGGAAUAAUGAAAUAGGACGUUUGAUUCUAUUUUGUUGGUUUCUAGGAUCGACGUAAUGAUUAAUAGGGAUAGUUGGGGGCAUUAGUAUUCAAUUGUCAGAGGUGAAAUUCUUGGAUUUAUUGAAGACUAACUACUGCGAAAGCAUUUGCCAAGGAUGUUUUCAUUGAUCAAGAACGAAAGUUAGGGGAUCGAAGACGAUCAGAUACCGUCGUAGUCUUAACCAUAAACUAUGCCGACUAGGGAUCGGAUGAUGUUAAUUUUUUAAUGACUCAUUCGGCGCCUUACG